rnacentral:rRNA from 1 species
AUUGAACGCUGGCGGCAUGCUUUACACAUGCAAGUCGAACGGCAGCACGGACUUCGGUCUGGUGGCGAGUGGCGAACGGGUGAGUAAUACAUCGGAACGUACCCAGUAAUGGGGGAUAACUAUCCGAAAGGAUAGCUAAUACCGCAUACGCCCUACGGGGGAAAGAGGGGGAUCGCAAGACCUCUUGUUAUUGGAGCGGCCGAUGGCUGAUUAGCUAGUUGGUGGGGUAAAGGCCUACCAAGGCAACGAUCAGUAGCGGGUCUUAGAGGACGAUCCGCCACACGGGAACUGAGACACGGUCCAGACUCCUACGGGAGGCAGCAGUGGGGAAUCUUGGACAAUGGGCGCAAGCCUGAUCCAGCAAUGCCGCGUGCGUGAAGAAGGCCUUCGGGUUGUAAAGCGCUUUUGUCAGGGAGCAAAUCCUUGUGGCUAAUACCCACCGGGGAUGAGAGUACCUGAAGAAUAAGGACCGGCUAACUACGUGCCAGCAGCCGCAGUAA